UACGAAGGGGACUAGCGUUGUUCGGAAUCACUGGGCGUAAAGCGCACGUAGGCGGAUCUUUAAGUCAGGGGUGAAAUCCUGGAGCUCAACUCCAGAACUGCCUUUGAUACUGGGGAUCUCGAGUCCGGGAGAGGUGAGUGGAACUCCGAGUGUAGAGGUGAAAUUCGUAGAUAUUCGGAAGAACACCAGUGGCGAAGGCGGCUCACUGGCCCGGUACUGACGCUGAGGUGCGAAAGCGUGGGGAGCAAACAGGG
rnacentral:rRNA from 1 species